UGGCAAUAUGACGGAGACAAGAAUCUGUGGAGAUGGAAUGAGGAAGAUACGGAAGCACAUCGGCCAUUGUUUUCAUUUUUGAAGCUAUGUUCUCUAAUGCACUUGCCAUUAACAGUUCCAAGGCGACUCACUGUUCCUGGUCUAAGGUGUGGAUACAUCACGGCUAAGGAUGUUCUUGAAUUAGUUGAGGAACAUAUCCUAAAGGGUGAAAUCGUUGAGAAGCUUUGGAGGGGCCAAAUGGGUACUACUAUUGGCAAAUCAAGUGUGGCCUUAUUUGAUAGCCACAACCCACCAAGUGGACUUGAUACAGUUAAAGUUAAAUAAAAAAAAGAUGCCACCUGGAUUGUGGUUAUUAUAUUGAGCAUCACUUCAGCUGCUACUAUUGCUUAUGGCAUCUACCGAAGAAGAAGGGAGGCUAGGCAAAGAAGAAGAAAAAAAAGAGGAAAGAGGGAGGAGGGAACAGGAAGACCGAAAAGAAAAGAAAAGGAAAACCUGUUGGCGCGGCUGCCGUCUGCUGUCGAUGAUGAUAUAAUACCGAUAGAAAAUUUGAAGUCAGAAGUACAUCAUAUGCCAUCAAUUCUAUUUUAUUCCUUUUAUGGAUGUAAUUUAGGUAUAUGUGGAAGCAUUGGGAAAUGGCUUCUCUAGUGCAGCACCAUUGCAAUUCGAUACAAAUGGAUUGUUGGAAAAGACUUCAACAUAUCAACGGAUAUAAAGGAAAAGGCUUCAGCAUAUCGGUGGAUUCAAAUUUUAAGGUUUUGUAAGUCGUUAGUCGAAAAUUUUGGGUCAAAUACAGUUCGUGAAAGCUCACAUUCGAAGUUCCACCAUGUUCGCUCAAGUCAGCAAUUCUCCGUUCGCGCAUCGUUGAAAACCCUGGAACUCCGAUCUCCAGUACAGGAUCGUGCGUUUCCUUAUAUUCCACUUCCACAAGGAUAUACAGCGGUCCGAUUUCGAGAUCACUGCGCAAGCGAAUCAACAGAAGAGCUAGAUUG